rnacentral:rRNA from 1 species
AGAGUUUGAUCCUGGCUCAGGACGAACGCUGGCGGCGCGCCUAACACAUGCAAGUCGAACGGAGAUUACAGGCGGAAGUUUUCGGAUGGAAGCUUGUAAACUUAGUGGCGGACGGGUGAGUAACACGUGAGCAACCUGCCUAUCAGAGGGGGAUAACGAUUGGAAACGAUCGCUAAUACCGCAUGACAUAGCGGAACCGCAUGGUUCUGUUAUCAAAGAUUUAUCGCUGAUAGAUGGGCUCGCGUCCGAUUAGAUAGUUGGUGGGGUAACGGCCUACCAAGUCGACGAUCGGUAGCCGGACUGAGAGGUCGAACGGCCACAUUGGGACUGAGACACGGCCCAGACUCCUACGGGAGGCAGCAGUGGGGGAUAUUGCACAAUGGGGGAAACCCUGAUGCAGCGACGCCGCGUGAGGGAAGACGGUCCUCUGGAUUGUAAACCUCUGUCUUCGGGGACGAAACGAGACGGUACCCGAGGAGGAAGCCACGGCUAACUACGUGCCAGCAGCCGCGGUAAUACGUAGGUGGCAAGCGUUGUCCGGAAUUACUGGGUGUAAAGGGAGCGUAGGCGGGCAGGCAAGUCAGGCGUGAAAUAUAUCGGCUCAACCGGUAACGGCGCUUGAAACUGCAGGUCUUGAGUGAAGUAGAGGUUGGCGGAAUUCCUAGUGUAGCGGUGAAAUGCGUAGAUAUUAGGAGGAACACCAGUGGCGAAGGCGGAUUGCUGGACGAUAACUGACGGUGAGGCGCGAAAGUGUGGGGAGCAAACAGGAUUAGAUACCCUGGUAGUCCACACUGUAAACGAUGAAUACUAGGUGUGCGGGGACUGACCCCCUGCGUGCCGCAGUUAACACAAUAAGUAUUCCACCUGGGGAGUACGAUCGCAAGGUUGAAACUCAAAGGAAUUGACGGGGGCCCGCACAAGCGGUGGAUUAUGUGGUUUAAUUCGAAGCAACGCGAAGAACCUUACCAGGUCUUGACAUCCUGCUAACGAAGUAGAGAUACAUUAGGUGCCCUUCGGGGAAAGCAGAGACAGGUGGUGCAUGGUUGUCGUCAGCUCGUGUCGUGAGAUGUUGGGUUAAGU